CACUGUAAAACCGGUUUAACAUGUGACAACUGACACCUCAGGAGGCAAGGUGUGGCAAGUCUCUCACUCUCACUGUUCAGCAAGGGUGAACAAGACUUCCUGUCACAAGCUCUACAGUCCCAGUUUACUGCAACAUCGUCUCUGAGGGCUGGCUAAUCUCCCUUGUCCAUGGCUUCUUGUUCCAGGCAGCUUCCCUGUCCCAUGUGUAUGGGGACUGGAGAUACAUUUCUCACCACCAUUAGAGCAAGGAAUGAAGACAUAACGCACAGAGAAGACCUUUUUCAGUCACUGGGAAUAAGGAGUACCAAAUGCUCUGCCUUAGGAGCCAGGAUCGUAUUAAGAGGGUGGUCCAGAGCCCGUUGAGCUUUCCUGCACGACGACGGGCCGCACUGCAGAACAUUCUCUUGAGCACAGAUGCCUCUCAGGGUUACUCCUCGAGGUCAAGAGAUUCCUUACCUGCAACAGAUCAUUGGUAAGUGACGCUGAUAGCAUGCUAAAAUUGUGUAACUUUGUUAAGUUACCUCUCUGACUGAUUGUGCACAUAAUCUUUAGACGUAAUCCUUAGACACAAUCCUUAGACAUAAUCCUUAGAUAUAGUCCCUAGAUACAAACCUUAGACCAAGGGAGGGCCUCCUUGACACUUACUUCGCAAACCUUACUAAGUCAUAUCUCUGAUUGUUCGUGCACACAAUCUUUAGAUAUAAACCAUUGACCAAGUCCGGGACUAGGAUUGGAUCCCCUGGGUCCAUUCUGAUCCUCAUGACUCAACGUGAGGGCCUCCUUAAGAUGAUCACCUGACCCUAUCCCCCAUGCAGUAAAUAACCCAGCUGAACCUUGCCAUUCGUCCCUUGUUAAGUCACUGUCUCACUCACGAUUGUACUCUGUGAAACCAAUAAAACAUAUUGCUGCUUCUCUCUACCA
rnacentral:lncRNA from 1 species